rnacentral:ncRNA from 1 species
CUUAUGUGCCGUAUCGACGGUUGCUCAUUUCGAGCGAACAGGGAACGCGGUAAGGAAAGUUCCAAAUCCGCGGCUGCCCCCGCAACUGUAAGCGGUGUGCCCAGGCAAGAGCUGGAAAGCGGUCUUGGGCGCCUAAGCCAACGCCACUGGGUUCGACCCGGGAAGGCGGCGAAGGUUGAUACCCGCGAAGCCAGGAGACCUGCCGUCGAUCGAGUCGUCCG